UACGGGGGGGGCAAGCGUUGUUCGGAUUUACUGGGCGUAAAGGGCGCGUAGGCGGCAAUUCAAGUCAUCUGUGAAAUCUCCGGGCUUAACCCGGAACGGUCAGAUGAUACUGCUUUGCUAGAGUGCGGAAGGGGCAAUCGGAAUUCUCGGUGUAGCGGUGAAAUGCGUAGAUAUCGAGAGGAACACCAGAGGUGAAGACGGGUUGCUGGGCCGACACUGACGCUGAUAGCGCGAAAGCCAGGGGAGCAAACGGG
rnacentral:rRNA from 1 species